rnacentral:rRNA from 1 species
UGGGGAAUUUUGGACGAAUUGGGGGCAACCGUCGAUCCAGCAAUGCCGCGUGUGUGAAGAAGGCCUUCGGGUUGUAAAGCACUUUUGUCCGGAAAGAAAACGCCGUGGUUAAUACCCGUGGCGGAUGACGGUACCGGAAGAAUAAGCACCGGCUAACUACGUGCCAGCAGCCGCGGUAAUACGUAGGGUGCAAGCGUUAAUCGGAAUUACUGGGCGUAAAGCGUGCGCAGGCGGUCCGCUAAGACAGAUGUGAAAUCCCCGGGCUUAACCUGGGAACUGCAUUUGUGACUGGCGGGCUAGAGUAUGGCAGAGGGGGUAGAAUUCCACGUGUAGCAGUGAAAUGCGUAGAGAUGUGGAGGAAUACCGAUGGCGAAGGCAGCCCCCUGGGCCAAUACUGACGCUCAUGCACGAAAGCGUGAGGAGCAAACA